rnacentral:RNase_P_RNA from 1 species
GGGAGUAGGUGGACGGCUGACGGCGGAUAUCGCUGAGGAAAGUCCCCUCUCGCUCUGAACCAGGUAACUGUGUAAAGCAGUAAGGGUGAAAAUCCUUAUAGAGGAGCAGAAACGACACAGCUUUAGAAUAAAGCAAUGAUUCACAAUGGUGAUGAGGUCUUCUAAAGAUUUGAUGAAACGUGCCAAUCUAUCCCUGGAGCAAGUCCAAACAGCAGGAUCAGUUGUUCAGACUGCCUGCAGGUAGGACGCAUAGUAGAAUGCCGUUUAAAACAGAAAGGGGCUUACGGCCU